UACGUAGGGCGCAAGCGUUAUCCGGAAUUAUUGGGCGUAAAGAGCUCGUAGGCGGUUUGUCGCGUCUGCCGUGAAAGUCCGGGGCUCAACUCCGGAUCUGCGGUGGGUACGGGCAGACUAGAGUGAUGUAGGGGAGACUGGAAUUCCUGGUGUAGCGGUGAAAUGCGCAGAUAUCAGGAGGAACACCGGUGGCGAAGGCGGGUCUCUGGGCCGUAACUGACGCUGAGGAGCGAAAGCGUGGGAGCGAACAGG
rnacentral:rRNA from 1 species